ACAUGCCUACAACAUAGCAUUAAUGCACCAAAUCCCAUUAGAACUCCGUAGUUAAGCAUGCUUGGGCUAGAUUAGUACUGGGAUGUGUGACCACCUGGGAAAUCCUAGUGUUUUACAUGCU
rfam:Picea glauca, whole genome shotgun sequence.